CUCCUCCAGGGCCAGAUGAUCCUAUCAGCAA
rnacentral:piRNA from 1 species